CAGUGAGGAAUCUUCCACAAUGGGCGAAAGCCUGAUGGAGCAACGCCGCGUGAAGGAUGAAGGCCUUCGGGUUGUAAACUGCUUUUAUAAGUGAGGAUUAUGACAGUAACUUAUGAAUAAGGAUCGGCUAACUACGUGCCAGCAGCCGCGGUCAUACGUAGGAUCCGAGCGUUAUCCGGAGUGACUGGGCGUAAAGAGUUGCGUAGGCGGUUUGUUAAGCGAAUAGUGAAACCUGGUGGCUCAACCAUACAGACUAUUAUUCAAACUGUUAAACUCGAGAAUGGUAGAGGUAACUGGAAUUUCUAGUGUAGGAGUGAAAUCCGUAGAUAUUAGAAGGAACACCGAUGGCGUAGGCAGGCUACUGGGCUGUUUCUGACACUGAGGCACGAAAGCGUGGGGAGCGAACCGGAUUAGAUACCCGGGUAGUCCACGCCGUAAACGAUGGAUACUAGCUGUUGGAGGUAUCGACCCCUUCAGUAGCGAAGCUAACGCGUUAAGUAUCCCGCCUGUGGAGUACGGCCGCAAGGCUAAAACAUAAAGGAAUUGACGGGGACCCGCACAAGCGGUGGAUCGUGUUCUUUAAUUCGAUGAUAACCGAAGAACCUUACCAGGGCUUGACAUCCAGGGAAGGUCUGCGAAAGUAGACUGUGCCUUUUGGAACCCUGUGACAGGUGAUGCAUGGCCGUCGUCAGCUCGUGUCGUGAGAUGUUUGGUUAAGUCCAUCAACGAGCGCAACCCUUGUCAGUAGUUGUAUUUUUCUACUGAGACUGCCCCGGCAACGGGGAGGAAGGAGGGGAUGACGUCAGGUCAGUAUUUCCCUUACGUCCUGGGCUAGAAACGUGAUACAAUGGCUAGUACAAUGCGCAGCGAAGCCGCGAGGUGAAGCAAAUCGCAUCAAAGCUAGUCCCAGUUCGGAUUGUAGGCUGAAACUCGCCUGCAUGAAGUCGGAAUCGCUAGUAAUCGCAGAUCAGCAUGCUGCGGUGAAUACGUUCCCGGGUCUUGUACACACCGCCCGUCAAACCAUGAAAGUCACUAACACCCGAAGUCCGAUUCGUCGGCCUAAGGUGGGAGGGAUGAUUGGGGUUAAGUCGUAACAAGGUAUCCGUACCGGAAGGUGCGGAUG
rnacentral:rRNA from 1 species